AGCAAUAAUCCCGUUACUGACACCAACCGACAGUGUCAACCCGACGCGCCUCGCUAUUGGACGCAGUGGGGGCUGGACUCGUGCACUCCCGCCAGCUGUUCUCCAAACGCAGGGAGCGCGUGUGGCCAGUCGCUCCUCGGUGCGCGCCGGAUAUGGAUCAGGACGCAGCGCGCCUCCCCGCUGUCUGCCGCGGACAGGCUGCACUCCGCGGCGUAUAAACGGCUGUCCAGAUGAACCGUCGCCCUACCGGCUCCUCCGGCGUGCAAUGGCUUAACAGGAGAGACAUGAGUGUCCGGACGGAUGACAGCAUCACCUUGUGCCAGAGGGCUCUCCAAAUCGUUACGGAACUUUGUCUCACGGGACACGUCGACCGGGAGAAAUGCUCGGAUAUAUUCCCGCUGGAGAGCAACAUACUAGGUAAAGGACAUGCAGACAUCUCUAUUAGUCUCCUUGCUGUGGUCGUGGGUUUCUGUGGCCUCGCCCUGUUGGUAGUCUCUCUCUUUGUGUUUUGGAAGCUGUGUUGGCCCAUUUGGAGGAGUAAGGCUCUGCCGGCCCACGCCGAAAAUGGCCUCCGCGUGGGUUUCCCCGAUGUCCCUCCGCCCAACCCCACGGCGGUCACCGAGUGCAAAGCGGCCGAGGCGGAGAAGAAGUACCCGCUGGAGGUGAAGGUGAACGGACGGAGCUCUGUCAAGCUCCUGGAGGCAGCCAUGAAGAUCAGCCAGACGUCUCCAGACAUCCCUGCCCAGGUGCAAACAGCCCUGAGGGAGAAGCUGAGCCAGCAGGUGAAGAUCCAGAGGCAGACCACCGAGCCGACCUCCUCCUCCAGGCACAAUUCAUUCCGCCGCCACCUGCCUCGUCAGAUGAAUGUCACCAGUUUUGAUUUCAGCAUGGACACAGUGCCUCUCCGCCAGUCCUCUACAGUGAGCAUUGGAAGAAUAAAACCUGAGCUCUACAAGCAGAAGUCUGUGGACUCAGAGGACGAGGCCAAAGAGCCCGUGGAGACGUGUGGAAAGCUGAGCUUCUCGCUUCGCUACGACUACGAGGAGCAAGCUUUGGUGGUGAGGAUCCUCAAGGCCUUAGACCUGCCUGCCAAAGACUUCACAGGCACCUCCGACCCCUACGUGAAGAUCUACCUGCUGCCUGAGAGGAAGAAGAAGUUCCAGACCCGAGUCCACCGCAAGAAUCUGAACCCCAUGUUUGACGAGACCUUCUCUUUCCCCGUGGUGUACGACGAGCUGUGCAACCGCAAGCUGCAUUUCAGCGUCUACGACUUCGAUCGAUUCACGAGCCAUGAUAUGAUUGGUGAGGUGGUGGUGGACAACCUCUUUGAACUCUCUGAUCUUUCCAGGGAGGCGGUGGUCUGGAAGGAUAUUCACGCAGCUACGACGGAGAGUAUUGACCUGGGAGAGAUCAUGUACUCGUUGUGUUAUCUCCCCACAGCAGGGAGAAUGACCCUGACAGUCAUCAAAUGCAGGAACCUCAAAGCCAUGGACAUCACAGGCUCUUCGGAUCCGUAUGUGAAGGUUUACCUAAUAUGUGAUGGACGGAGGUUAAAGAAGCGAAAAACAACCACCAAGAAAAGCACACUUAAUCCAGUGUACAACGAGGCCAUCAUCUUCGACAUUCCCCCAGAGAAUGUGGAACAAGUCAGUCUGUCCAUCAUGGUGAUGGAUUACGAUCGGGUUGGACAUAAUGAGGUGAUUGGUGUGUGUCGCACUGGGCCGGAGGCUGAGGGCCUUGGACGAGAUCACUGGAACGAAAUGUUGGCUUACCCUCGGAAACCCAUCACACACUGGCAUGCUCUGGGAGAGUACUCAAAAGUGUAAGGACAUUCAUCACGUUUUUGCGAUGGAUGGAUGGAUGGACGGAUGGACGGAUGGACGGAUGGACGGAUGGAUGGAUACUUUACUAAUCCCGAGGGAAAUUCAAAUAGCUAAGUGGCCCGGAAGAGCAGCAAGCUUUGAGAGUCAAGGUUCGUGUCCUUCACCCAAACCUCCACAGACUCCCUGAUGACCGUGGGGAGAGUCAGAACAUCACCUCUGUAAGAAAGCGGACGUUUGUUUAGUUUCUGAGAAGUUCUGUUGCCUAUCACUCGCUUGAGAGCAUGUUGUAUGAAAACUAAAUUCAAUCCGAUGUGUUUCUUAUGUGGUUGUGCUACCAUUUUAUGUAUUCAUUCAAAUGCAAGUUUUUCAAAGUGCUCUACAGAGCUGGCUAUGCACAGCACUCAGUCACUCAGUUCAAGCGUUAGUUUUUCAUACACUUGCUUCAAAAUUGUUCAUUUACCAACCAUUUACGCAGACCACAUGAAUGGUAGGCCUCACGUCAACAAGUCCUUAGCAACUGUAUCAAACAAUUCAAUAAUUUGAGUGACAUUUUUCUAGCCCUAGAGCUCUUUAAUGUGUUCCCAUUUUACUUUGAAAUGGCACAAAGCUAAAGGGCUAUGCUGCUCAGUGCCAUGAAUCCAUGUACUCUGAAAACACUCAAUAAAUCCAGUGAGUCGUGAUCCAGGUUUUAGUUGAAAAAAAACUGCAGGUAACUGAAGGGCUGUGUGAAUCUCUCAGAAAAUCCACCAGUCACAGCAAGACUCAUAUUUAGAGAAACAGUAGCAGAUACAUGUAGCAAACAAAUGUACAGAGAGGUUAACAACAAUCAAAUGAACGUGUCUUUGUAAUCACUUCAUAGUAAAGUUGUUCUACAAACCCGGCUGAACCAUACAAAAACUUAAAAAUGACAAAUUCAGAUUUAUUUUUGUACACACCAGUUCGAUUUAUGUUCAGUAUUAGAAAAAGCCGGAGUUAUACUUUAAAGUUCCCUCAUAUUGCAACUGAAAGUGACGUACUUCUCAUGAACACUGGUAUGUAGGUCAUGAUUUGGCUCUAAAUUCUCUGGAUAUCUGGGGUGAUCAUUAUGAUCUUUACCAACAACUACUUGUGGUAACCAAAUGGGCAAUAUUCCACAAUACAGAAUCUGGUCCUGUCCUUUACUACGCAAUGCAAGAUUUCAGGCGAACAUUAGCAGCUCUGUUGAAUUGAAUGAAAUUUACACCAGUCAGCCACAACAACAAAACCACAGGUACAGAAAUGUUAUUCACUUUACCUGUAAAGAGCAGUCAUUGAAAUACUUUGAAAUUCAAAAUUUCAACCCUAGAGUGUUAUUGGAGGACAUAACAAGACUUUUUUUUACUUUUGGGACAUUGGAAUUCAAGGUCAAUGAAGUUACCAUAUAUGGUUUCUUGCCCAUUCAUGGUAAAAAACAUUCCAAGAAACGUAUAUAUCUUCACUUAGCACAACUACUCAACCGUAAAAUGUGUGAGGUUAGUUUUGAGUUUCAACUGCAAAUAUGGAAGAGGAAGUUGAUACGUUCCAGGCCUCUGCUGAUUGGUCAAAUGCCAUGAUGUAGUGUAGUGUGCUGUAACGUAGAGUGAUCUUCGUUGAUUGGCUGGGUGAAAACUACAUGCUUCCAUAUUUAAUGUGUGUGGAAGUUACCACAUAUGAUCACUUGCCCGAUAAAGCGUAAACAUCUUGCUAAAUGUAAUGGGGGGGGUCAUGUGGUCCAAGUCUUGAAACGAAUGUGCUGAAAGAAGAAAAACAUGAGCAGUGGAAAGAUCUGAGAGACUUUGACAAGAGUCAGAUUAGCAUUACGAUGAUAUUUCAGGUAAUGUUCUGCUGGGAAACCUUGGGUCUUGCAGUUAUGGUUAUUUUUCUUUGACAAGGACCACCUACAUAAGCAUUGUUGCAGACAAUGGUACAUGAUUUGCACAUAGAUAGUGCUUUUCCAUCUUGACGGUACUCAAAGUGCAAAGGCUUUACAAUGUUUUCUCAUUCAUCCACGGUGGCAGAGCUGCUUUGCAAGGAGCUGCUGACAUAAAAAUGCUUGCCUGCAUCAAACCACCAACCUUGCAAUUAUUGGACGACUCACUCUUCCACCUGAGCCACAGCAGUCACAGUGCACAAUUCCAGGAAAGCAGUUGUAUUCUCUGAUAGUAGUGGCCUCUUUCAGCUUAAUAAUGCAACAAACAAACAUUUUUGAACCAUCUGCUGCUAACGUUUUGGUGUCUGAUGCCACAAGACACCUUCAGAGGUCUGGCGAAGUCCAGGCCUCAUAGGAUCAGUGCUGUUUUGGUGGCAUGAGAUGGAUUUACAUAAGAUGGUGGUUUUAAUGUUGUGGCUGAUGGAUGAGUAACGGGCAAACAUCUGUGAUGCCAUUAUGUUUGCCAAACAAACUGGUUUGUCCUCUAUUUUAUUUCAUGAGGCGAUAUUAAAAGUGAAGGAGAAGAGUUUGGACGUAAACACAACGAUGCAUAAAUCUGACCUCUAUCUUGCUUAUGAGCUCAUGUUUGGCACUUUAUCAGACUACUCAAAUAAAAGGUAGCCUUGUCUGACAUUUGUCGUUAAUAUACUUUGCAAAUUACAAAUACAUGACUAACUGGGUCAAUAUAUAAUUGCGGGAUCAAUUUUGUAUCAUAGUUGACAUUUUUGCUGUUUUCAGGCCUAAAAUCAACAUGGCUGCCUAUAACCAAACACCACAUGGCAUUUUUACAGAAAGAUUCUUCUAAAUAUUAUAUAUACAACUGAGUAAAAUUGAAAUUGAAAGUUAUUUAUAAAGACAUUGUAGUAAACCUGUUGACAUGCUAUAAAUCCACACCUGACUCACACACUACUUUAUAUUAAAUAACUCAGAAAGCCUUGGAGUCUUUCCAGUCUUUUCUUCAGUAGGAAAUGACUUCAUGUGGAGCAGGUCAUGUGAUCUGGAAUUAACACACUUCCUUGAGAUGUGUUUUUGUAAUGGAUAACUUAGCUGAAAGUGAUACAAUUUGUUAUUUUCCCUAUAAAAUGUGAUAUAUUGCCAAAAAAGAAACAUCUGUCAUGAUGAUCUCAACUUAAAAACAAGAACACAAUCAAAACUAUUUCUGAAUAAUCUCAUUUUAUUGUUUAUCUAAUUAGAAGGUGGUUGUUAUUAAAUUCGGACGGUUAUUUAGUUGACAUUGUAGUGAUAUCCAGUCAUUUUUUAUUAAUAAGUGAUUCCUUAAUAAAUAAUUAUGGAAUUUGUAAAAACAUCAUAAUGAACAUAAAAAGCAUUAGUUUUUUUUUACUUUUAAUAAACAUGUAUCCAAGAUAUAUCCCAUGGACUUCAAAAGUCCCUCAAUUAUAUACUGACCCAACUAAGCUCUACACUGGAGUAAAAGAACAAUGCAUUUUCUUCAUCAUAUAUGUAGCAGUCCGGUGCAUAUCUAAGACCCCUACAUUAUGUGGAGUUUUUAUCUUAAAAAUAAUAACUAACAAGCUGGCUUCAGCUGGUAUUUCAGGUGACACAAAUGAGGAGCUGGCUUUCUGAAAUCGAGAACCCACUGUUUAAAAAAACCUUCUUAAACACUGCUGUAUUGCUUAACAGUGGCAACACCAGUAGCUAAGGAGGAGUGAAUGUUAGCAAACAGUUAUUUGCCAACAUAAAUCAAUGUAUGCAGUACAUCAAUCUCAACUUACACACUUGAGAGAGAAUAAACUCUAUUGUACAUCGUUUCCUCUGCAGCUGUAAAUUCAGGGAAUUAAAGUCCAUAAACUACACAGAAUCUACCAUUUGCAGAUGUUAUGUAUGUUUUCCAUUGAGCCAUAUGAAAUUAAGUUCAGUGCAUCGAACACGAAACAUCGACUCAGCUUCUCUUUACACGUGAAUAAUAAGAAACUAAUAAGAAAUCAACAUAGCAAAUAGAAAAAGGCUAUGUACUGUUAUCUUACUUGCACAUGCAGUUAAUGAUGUUUUUUCCCCUGCUCUGCCCUUAAUAUGAAAAAGAAAUAUUUUUACUUGUAGCAUGCCUGUCACCACUUAAAAAAAAAUGUUAUUGAGGGAAAAUGUGACUAAUGAGUAUGUUAUGAGUAUUUGAUAUUUUGAUCUUUGUGUUUACAGUUGUAUGUAUAUACUUGUCAAUGGCACUGUUUGUACAUAUUGAAAAGUGAAGAAGUUGUCGUAAACUUAUGGAAAUAGAGACAUCACAAUGUAUUUCUAUUGUUUGGUGAUACUUUGAAAAAGCUCAGACUUGUAAUCGAGUGAAAUUUAUUCUGUGAUAGUUGUGAACAACUGGUCAAACUGGAAACACAGUGAAGCCAACUCUACCUUACCAAGUUAUUCCAUGUUUAGGAGUUUAGAGCUUUGAGCUGUAAUCAUUUGCCUAUUGGUUGAAUCUAUAUGGAGCAAGAACAACUGCAACUACUGUCAUGAUGUGUACAGUUUGUGAUAACUUUUGUAACAAUUUAAAGUAAACAUUUGGGAUAUCAGUUAUUGUAUCUGUUUCAUAUGUAUUUUAACAACAUAAAUAAAAAAUGAACAGUCA